CGAAUCUCGAAAGCCUAUCUCAGUUCGGAUUGGAGGCUGAAACCCGCCUCCAUGAAGUUGGAUUCGCUAGUAAUCGCGCAUCAGCCAUGGCGCGGUGAAUACCUUCCCGGGCCUUGUACACACCGCCCGUCAAGCCAUGGGAGCUGGGGGUGCCUGAAGUUCGUGACCGCAAGGAUCGACCUAGGGCAAAACCGGUGACUGGGGCUAAGUCGUAACAAGGUAAC
rnacentral:rRNA from 1 species